UUCCUGUUUGAAAAUGACGACCUUCUACACCCGCUGCCUACAAGAGCUUCCGAAAUUAAAAAUGUCAGAUGUUCAUCGGAUUUGCCGGACGACUAAAGCCCCAGCCAGCAAACUCGAUAAAGGCUUCAAAUUAUAUGCUGCGUCAUAUAUACACAACUAUGAAGAUAACGCUUCGUGAUUCAUCACCAGUGGUGCUCACGCACAACCAGUGCUCCUGUGUUGCAGGAACUGUUUUGUGCAAUCACACAGUAGCAUUGCUGUUCCAAACAGCACACUACACUGAACUGAACAUGCCAGUUGUGCCACCUGUGCAUAGCUGUACUGAAUCGGAACAGCAAUGGCACAAGCCGCGAACAAUGGGUGUGAAGCCAGGGCCCAUCAACUCCAUGGUCUUCACCAAGCCUGUACCAAAUAGGAUGGUGCAGA